rnacentral:rRNA from 1 species
UGGGGAAUAUUGGGCAAUGGACGCAAGUCUGACCCAGCAACGCCGCGUGAAGGAAGAAGGCUUUCGGGUUGUAAACUUCUUUUGUCAGGGAAGAGUAGAAGACGGUACCUGACGAAUAAGCCACGGCUAACUACGUGCCAGCAGCCGCGGUAAUACGUAGGUGGCAAGCGUUGUCCGGAUUUACUGGGUGUAAAGGGCGUGCAGCCGGGCCGGCAAGUCAGAUGUGAAAUCUGGAGGCUUAACCUCCAAACUGCAUUUGAAACUGUAGGUCUUGAGUACCGGAGAGGUUAUCGGAAUUCCUUGUGUAGCGGUGAAAUGCGUAGAUAUAAGGAAGAACACCAGUGGCGAAGGCGGAUAACUGGACGGCAACUGACGGUGAGGCGCGAAAGCGUGGGGAGCAAACA